rnacentral:rRNA from 1 species
UUCCGGUUGAUCCUGCCGGAGGCGACCGCUAUUGGAAUUCGAUUAAGCCAUGCGAGUCGAGAGUCUUAGGGACUCGGCGUACCGCUCAGUAACACGUGGGUAACCUGCCCUAUGCUGGGGGAUAACCUCGGGAAACUGAGAAUAAUACCCCAUAGUUCACCACGCCUGGAACGGUGGGUGGAUGAAAGCUCCGGCGGCAUAGGAUGGGCCUGCGGCGUAUCAGGUUGUAGGGGGUGUAAUGUACCCUCUAGCCAUCUACGCGUACGGGUGUUGGGAGACAUCGCCCGGAGAUGGAUUCUGAGACACGAAUCCAGACCCUACGGGGUGCAGCAGGCGCGAAAACUUGGCAAUGCGAGCAAUCGUGACCAGGGAACUCCAAGUGCAUCGGGUAAGACCGAUGCUUUUCUUGACUCUUCAAAGGUCUUGGAAUAAGGGGUGGGUAAGGACGGUGCCAGCCGCCGCGGUAAUACCGGCGCCUCAAGUGGUAGUCGCUUUUAUUGGGCCUAAAACGUCCGUAGCCGGUUUGGUACAUUCGUGGGUAAAUCAAGGCGCUCAACGUCUUGAAUUCUGCGAGCACGGCCAGACUUGGGACCGGGUGAGGUGUGGGGUACUCUCAGGGUAGGGGUAAAAUCCUGUCAUCCUGAGAGGACCACCUGUUGCGAAGGCGCCACACUAGAACGGAUCCGACGGUCAGGGACGAAGCCUAGGGGCACGAACCGGAUUAGAUACCCGGGUAGUCCUAGGUGUAAACGCUGUGGACUUGAUGUUGGGAGUGCUCCGAGCACCCUCAGUGUCGAAGCGAAGGUGAUAAGUCCACUGCCUGGGGAGUACGGUCGCAAGGCUGAAACUUAAAGGAAUUGGCGGGGGAGCACUGCAACCUGAGGAUUGUGCGGUUUAAUUGGAUUCAACGCCGGA